rnacentral:lncRNA from 10 species
CCAUUCCACCAUUCUGUCUGGCCCACUGCUUCUUACAAGAUUAAGAUAGCAGAUCCCAUGGGUGUAGCUGUAGACCAAGACCUGGAAUUAACACAUCAGAAGAUUCUAUGAGGAAACCCAUUUAAAAAUAGGAUGCAUUUUUUUCUUUUCUGCACAGGGAGAAAGUUUAAGCUCUCCUCACUAUGAGUUUUCAAGUAUAAAAGACUUUUUCUUCCACGAUUUUGAGAACAACUGAGGACUCUUGUGACCAGGACAACAGGGAAGCUUGCAGCAAGAUAGCUCCAGGUUGGAUUCAUGCUUCGCACCCCAAGGGCUGCCAGCCAGAGAGGAGGAGAAGCAAUCACUCCUGCAGUUUCUGAACACUACACAGACGCCAGGUAGCUUCUUCAGGAGAACAGCCCUCUGAGGAGGCAGGAAGAGGAGGCUUAUCUUUCAGCAGCCGGAGCUGCUGAGAUCUCUGGGCAGAUUAAGCUCUCUCUAAUGGAUGGGCUCCAGCCUGGCACAUUCAGUGGAGAGGGAUCCACUCAUCCAUCAUCAACAUAAUAUGGUCCUCCCUGCACUUCACAGUGUCCUCUUGCUA